rnacentral:tRNA from 1 species
AUUAUUUUGGCAGAUUAGUGCAAUAGAUUUAGAAUUUAUAUAUGUAUUUAAUAAUACAAGUAAUA